AGUGGGGAAUAUUGCACAAUGGGCGCAAGCCUGAUGCAGCCAUGCCGCGUGUAUGAAGAAGGCCUUCGGGUUGUAAAGUACUUUCAGCAGUGAGGAAGGGUGUGUAGUUAAUAACUGCACAUCUUGACGUUAGCUGCAGAAGAAGCACCGGCUAACUCCGUGCCAGCAGCCGCGGUAAUACGGAGGGUGCGAGCGUUAAUCGGAAUUACUGGGCGUAAAGCGCAUGCAGGUGGUUUGUUAAGUCAGAUGUGAAAGCCCGGGGCUCAACCUCGGAAUUGCAUUUGAAACUGGCAGGCUAGAGUACUGUAGAGGGGGGUAGAAUUUCAGGUGUAGCGGUGAAAUGCGUAGAGAUCUGAAGGAAUACCAGUGGCGAAGGCGGCCCCCUGGACAGAUACUGACACUCAGAUGCGAAAGCGUGGGGAGCAAA
rnacentral:rRNA from 1 species